rnacentral:rRNA from 1 species
UACGUAGGGUGCGAGCGUUGUCCGGAAUUACUGGGCGUAAAGAGCUCGUAGGUGGUUUGUCGCGUUGUUCGUGAAAACUCACAGCUCAACUGUGGGCGUGCGGGCGAUACGGGCAGACUGGAGUACUGCAGGGGAGACUGGAAUUCCUGGUGUAGCGGUGGAAUGCGCAGAUAUCAGGAGGAACACCAGUGGCGAAGGCGGCUCACUGGCCCGAUACUGACGCUGAGGCACGAAAGCGUGGGGAGCAAACAGG